CCCGGAUAGCUCAGUCGGUAGAGC
rnacentral:piRNA from 6 species